rnacentral:rRNA from 1 species
GUUGACCUCGGAUCAGGUAGGGAUACCCGCUGAACUUAAGCAUAUCAAUAAGCGGAGGAAAAGAAACCAACAGGGAUUACCUCAGUAACGGCGAGUGAAGCGGUAACAGCUCAAAUUUGAAAUCUGGGUCUUUCAGGCUCCGAGUUGUAAUUUGUAGAAGAUGCUUCGGGUGCGGCUCCGGUCUAAGUUCCUUGGAACAGGACGUCAUAGAGGGUGAGAAUCCCGUAUGUGAUCGGUUGCUUGCGCCCAUGUGAAGCUCUUUCGACGAGUCGAGUUGUUUGGGAAUGCAGCUCAAAAUGGGUGGUAAAUUUCAUCUAAAGCUAAAUAUUGGCCAGAGACCGAUAGCGCACAAGUAGAGUGAUCGAAAGAUGAAAAGCACUUUGGAAAGAGAGUUAAACAGUACGUGAAAUUGUUGAAAGGGAAGCGCUUGCAACCAGACUUGCGCGUUGCCGAUCAUCUGGGGUUCUCCCCAGUGCACUCGGCCUCGCUCAGGCCAGCAUCGGUUUCGGUGGUGGGAUAAAGGCCUUGGGAAUGUAGCUUCUUUCGGGGAGUGUUAUAGCCCUCGGUGCAAUGCCGCCUACCGGGACCGAGGACCGCGCUUCGGCUAGGAUGCUGGCGUAAUGGUUGUAAGCGACCCGUCUUGAAACACGGACCAAGGAGUCUAACAUCUAUGCGAGUGUUUGGGUGUCAAACCCAUACGCGUAAUGAAAGUGAACGGAGGUGAGAACCCUUAAGGGUGCAUCAUCGACCGAUCCUGAUGUCUUCGGAUGGAUUUGAGUAAGAGCAUAGCUGUUGGGACCCGAAAGAUGGUGAACUAUGCCUGAAUAGGGUGAAGCCAGAGGAAACUCUGGUGGAGGCUCGCAGCGGUUCUGACGUGCAAAUCGAUCGUCAAAUUUGGGUAUAGGGGCGAAAGACUAAUCGAACCAUCUAGUAGCUGGUUCCUGCCGAA